AACGAACGCUGGCGGCAGGCCUAACACAUGCAAGUCGAGCGAGGACUUCGGUCCUAGCGGCGGACGGGGGUGUAACGCGUGGGAACGUGCCCUUUGCUUCGGCAUAGCCCUGGGAAACUGGGAGUAAUACCGGAUGAGCGCUUUGGGGGGAAGAUGUAUCGGCGAAGAAUCGGCCCGAGUUGGAUUAGGUCGUUGGGUGGGUAAUAGACCACCAAGCCGACGAUUCAUAGCUGGGUCGGGAGGAUGAUCAGCAACCCUGGGACUGAGACACGGCCCAGAUCCUUACGGGAGGCAGCAGUGGGGAAUCUAGACAAUGGGGGAAACCCUGAUCUAGCCAUGCCGCGUGAGCGAUGAAGGCCUUAGGGUUGUAAAGCGCUUUCAGCUGGGAAGAUAAUGACGGUACCAGCAGAAGAAGCCCCGGCUAACUCCGUG
rnacentral:rRNA from 1 species